rnacentral:rRNA from 1 species
AAGCGUUGUUCGGAUUUACUGGGCGUAAAGGGCGCGUAGGCGGUCAGCACAAGGCAGUUGCGAAAUCUCCGGGCUUAACUCGGAAAGGUCAACUGAUACUGUGCGACUAGAGUGCAGAAGGGGCAACUGGAAUUCUCGGUGUAGCGGUGAAAUGCGUAGAUAUCGAGAGGAACACCUGCGGCGAAGGCGGGUUGCUGGGCUGACACUGACGCUGAGGCGCGAAAGCCAGGGGAGCGAACGGG